rnacentral:rRNA from 1 species
AGCAGCCGCGGUAAUUCCAGCUCCAAUAGCGUAUAUUAAAGUUGUUGCAAGUUAAAAAGCUCGUAGUUGAAUUUCGGGAUCAAUAUACCGGUCGUGCCUCAGGUAUGAACUGGUCUUAUUGGUUUCUCCCUUCUGACGAACCAUGAUGUCAUUAAUUUGAUGUCGUGGAGAAUCAGGAACUGCUACUUUAGAAAAAUUAGAGUGUUUAAAGCUGGCUAACGCUUGAAUACAUUAGCAAUGGAAUAAUGAAAUAGGACGUCCGAUCCUAUUUUGUUGGUUUCUAGGAUCGACGUAAUGAUUAAUAGGGAGUAGUUGGGGGCAUUAGUAUUCAAUUGUCAGAGGUGAAAUUCUUGGAUUUAUUGAAGACUAACUACUAGCGAAAGUCAUUUGGCCUAAGGUAUGUUUUACAUUAAUCAAAGAACGGAAAGUUAGGGGAUCGAAGACGAUCAGAUACCGUCGUAGUCUUAACCAUAACUAUGCCGAUAGGGAUCGGAGUAAGUUAAUUUUAAAUGACUCAUUCG